AAGAGGUCUGAAGUCUAGGGUGACAGGUAAGACACACACAGAAUAGAAAACUGUGGGAUCAGGGACAAGUGGCUUAUUUCUACCCGACAUCUGGAAGAGGUGGAGAAUCUGAAUAGGGUGUACAUUUGAGGACAAACAGCAAAGUGACUUCCCUUUUCCUAGCUAUGAAUUUGGGAUAUUCCUCUCUUUUCCUGUUUGGGCUUUUGUGUUCCUCAGAGAGGAGACCUCUAAUUCUGAGAAGUGGGCAAGAGGAGGUCAAACUACUGCUCACAAAACAAUGACUCAAAACCCUGAGUCUUUUCCGGAUUUACCUACAUUUAAAAACCAAAAAUCCUUUGCCCCCCCUCAGGCCUGCUGGAGGAACAGGGGCUCCUGUGGCUUUCUGGCAAAGGCAGUCAGGGUGUGAGGAAACCAGAAGGAACCAAAACACAAUGAGAAACCCCGUUCAGCCGACCACGGAAAAGUCCUCUUUGUUGUUUGAAAUUUUUAUCUUGUUUGUGGCAAAUCUAAUGAUUCAGUAACGACCACAGCUGUGUUGGGGCCCACGAAUUUCCUCAGAGGCUUCCCCCCACCCCCACCCCCCACUUGAGAGCAGGAACAAGGCCAGCUGGGUAGGCCACCCUCCUCCAGCUCUCUUCCCAGUCUCUGCAAUGUGUUUGGGACAAGCAGCGCUUGGGGCCGCCCGUCCGGAGAUUUUAUCCGACUUCUCCCGAAUCUAAUUCCGUGGGGGAGGAAGCGAAGUAAAACUGGCUGUUUUAGGUUCAUGGACGAUGCAUUUCUGGGCAUGAGGUUCAGCUCUCUGUAUCCUGCUGUUGAAGUGCUGGGGAUGCAGAAAUGAGUAACAUUGGGCUCCUGCCCUCCUGGGAUCACAGUCUUAUGGGCAGGAUAGACCCUUGAUGGAGCCUGAAGACUUUAUGGAGACGGCUGUGAUUCUUACGUUCUGUGGGGUCAAGGGCUCCUCGGAGAAUGGGAAGAAAGUGAUAAAUCAUCUCCCCAGAAAAUACACAUCAUUUCCGUAAAUUUUCAGGCGUUUCCAGAAUCAUCCCCCCCGCCCAACCCACUCAUAUGUUCCAGGCCAGAAAGAAUCCGGAGCAAGAAUGAGGGUAAGCGGAGAGGCCAAAUGAAGAGGAUUGGAGGGAUCGCCUGGAGAGCCAGGAGCCAGUAUAAACACACGUGACAUGGGAGAGAAAAGGGGGAUUAAUGGUUUUCUGUGAAGCAAAGCCUGGUGGGAAGAGCUCUGAUGCUGGCUCCACCACCGGCUAGCUGUGAUCUUGGACAGAUAACUGGACUUUGCAAGCCUGAAAUUCUUCAUCUUUAAAUGGGGAUCACUGUAGCCGCCCUCCCCCCCCCGGGGGAUCAUUAGAAGAUCAAAUAAACUGAUGUGCAGGAGGCCUUGGACAUGGUGCCUGGUACCCAGAAAAUGUUCAACAAAAGAGAGGUGCUAUGAUGGACUUCUAGGCAAAGCCUGAACGGCUAGAUUUUGUGCCCCCCUCCCCGCCCCGGCCCCCCCUCCCUCUGGCUGUUAUUGAUUAAGAGAUGACCUCAGAGUGACCCGGAGAAAUAACUUGAUAAUGAACCAUGGCUUUAGCAGAGUCAACCAGAAGAAUUUCCCACCUGGAUUGAGUUUCACAGGUGUGAUUUUUGAACCAGGAAAUCAAGCUGCGUUCCCUGGCAAAACUGUCUCACCCUUGGCGACCGGGGAAACGUCUGACCACCGGGUGCCUGGCCCCGCUUAAGCUGUGCAUUGUUGCAGAAUGGUUCCUGUUUAUCGAGGCUUACUUUGUGUCAGUCACUUCACUAAGCACUUUGCACCCACUGUUUCAUUUAUGCCUUAAUACCACCUGGAGAAGUAACUGAGUCCAUUUUACAGACAAGGAAAUGUAGGUUUAGCGAGACUUAGUACCUUAUCGAGGCUCCUUCUGACAGUAAUUGGUUUAAACUUAGGUCUAUCUGACUUCUAAAUCAAUCCAUCUAUCCUCUGUCUGGCUACCUAUCUACCAUCUGUCUAAUGGCCUCUCAUCUGUCUAUUUGAUGUGUUAAAUACAAACCACUUUGAUCUACUAAUUAAGACAAGUUCCUUCGAAACCUCGAGACUCUAGGGAAGUCUUUUUUGACCUCAGUUCAAGCUUCUCUUUUGAAAAUAUAGAGAUGUAUUCAUGGCUGGAGUUGUGCAGCUACAUCAUCCAUAACACAUACACGUGAUCUUCUGAGAAGCAUGUUGUUACUCAGAGGCCCCGUAACCUAGGUUAGGAGCCACUCUUGUGUUGGCCACACUUCCAGGGGUUCUGGGAGAGAGAAUGGUGUGCUGUGUCCUCUCCCUUGGGAGGACAGACAAUGCCACUCUCCGUUCUGCGUCGAGCUCCCUCUGCUGCCACGAACAAACCUAGUUGACCAGAACGGUCUCACUUCUCAAUGGGAAGCUGUUGGGUGAGAGAGGAAGUGUCAGAACAUCAGAUCAGCCUGACUUGGUUGCGAGAGACGGCAGAGGAGCAAAUCUGCCUUCCUGAAGGAAAAACAUCACCGGCCAUCGGUGGAGGGAAUUUGGCUUUUGGUUCCUAACUGGAGAAGACAGCUACCUGUCAAAUGGCGUGGAGUCGACUGGGGAGCCAAUGUGGCUAUGUUCCCACUUAGCGAUGUUCGGUUUUCUCUCCAGAAAUGUACUUUAUUUCUUCUAAAUUCGUAUUGUAGCUCAUCUCAGAUUAAUAAAGUUUUCUCUAUUAAAGGAGGCCCUUAGAGAGUCUACUUUAUUACAUUA